rnacentral:rRNA from 1 species
UACGUAGGGGGCUAGCGUUGUCCGGAAUCAUUGGGCGUAAAGCGCGUGUAGGCGGUCCGGUAAGUCCGCUGUGAAAGUCGAGGGCUCAACCCUCGAAUGCCGGUGGAUACUGUCGGGCUUGAGUACGGGAGAGGCGAGUGGAAUUCCUGGUGUAGCGGUGAAAUGCGCAGAUAUCAGGAGGAACACCGAUUGCGAAGGCAGCUCGCUGGAACGUUACUGACGCUGAGACGCGAAAGCGUGGGGAGCGAACAGG